rnacentral:rRNA from 1 species
AUACGGUAGGGGGCAAGCGUUAUCCGGAAUUACGUGGGCGUAAAGGGUGCGUAGGUGGCCUGACAAGUCAGGGGUCAAAGGCAACGGCUCAACCGUUGUAAGCCCUUGAAACUGUCGGGCUUGAGUUCAGGAGAGGAAAGCGGAAUUCCUAGUGUAGCGGUGAAAUGCGUAGAUAUUAGGAGGAACACCAGUGGCGAAGGCGGCUUUCUGGACUGAUACUGACACUGAGGCACGAAAGCGUGGGGAGC